rnacentral:misc_RNA from 1 species
UUUCCGUAGGUGAACCUGCGGAAGGAUCAUUAUCAUGUAAUACAGUCCCCUUGGUUUUGUUAUAUUUAUACCCACUCUGUGUACCUUAUCCUGUUGCUUCCGCUGGGUGUGUAAUUCGCACGGCGGAAGGGUAAAAAUAACCUCUGAGUAUUAAUGAAAUCUCUGACUGAUCCGAAUAAAAAGAAAAAUGUUAAAACUUUCAGCAACGGAUCUCUUGGUUCUC